UACGAAGGGGGCUAGCGUUGUUCGGAAUUACUGGGCGUAAAGGGCGCGUAGGCGGUCGUGACAAGUCACUUGUGAAAUCUCCGGGCUUAACUCGGAACGGUCAAGUGAUACUGUCGGACUAGAGUACAGAAGGGGCAACUGGAAUUCUCGGUGUAGCGGUGAAAUGCGUAGAUAUCGAAGAGGAACACCUGGCGGCGAAGGCGGGUUGCUGGGCUGACACUGACGCUGGAGGCGCGAAAGCCUAGGGGAGCAAACAGG
rnacentral:rRNA from 1 species